GCAUUUUCAGACCUGCCUUUGGGGGGCGCUCGUGCGUAGGUGCUGACCUCCAGGCUGAGAUGUGCAACACCCAGGUAGGCCUGCUCUCUCGGGCUGGGGAGGGGGUGAGGUCACAGGACAAGGGCACCUGUGAUUUGCGGUUCACACAAUUUUUUUAAAAGGCACGGACAUAGUCAAUGUUUAUAAUCAGCCUUGUUUUCUGAAGUUGGGGCCUCCCACCAGCAGCCUGGCUUUGCUUCUUGUUGCUGGGGUAGGCCCUGCCCUGUGCCCUUUACAUACUCUCGUAGAGUUCUCCCAUCAGCAGAGGAAGGCACCCCACUGUACAAGCAGGAACGUCAGGUGCAGCCUGGAGCUGGGCCCAAACCCUCUUCUUUGGGAAUUCCCAUGGUGGCUCAGCAGUAACAAACCUGACAUAGUCUCUGAGAGGAUAUCCUUAACCCACUGAGCAAGCCCAGGGCUGGAACUGGCAACCUCAUGGUUCCUAGUCGGAUUCAUUAGCCACUGAGCCAAGGCGGGAACUCCCUGCAGUCAGAUUCUUAACCCACCGGGGGAGCUCCCAAUCCCCGCCCCCGUCUCCGCCCUCGAGCUGUAGGGGGCCUUGCUGUCUCCCAGGGGCUAGGACCCUCUACCCUAGACCCGCCCCCCAUGCCCCCUGCCCCUGCCCCUCCUGUGCCUGUCCUCUGCCUCCUCCUGCCAGGCCUGCGAGAAGACCCAGCUGGAGUUCAUGUCCCAGCAGUGCGCACAGACCGACGGGGAGCCCCUGCGCCUCUCCCCGGGCAGCACCUCCUUCUAUCACUGGGGCGCCGCCGCGCAGUACAGCCAAGGGGACACUCUGUGCAGACACAUGUGCUGGGCGGUUGGCGAGAGCUUCAUUGUGCGGCGUGGGGACAGGUUCCUGGACGGGACUCGGUGUGUGCCCGGCGGCCCCCGACAGGACGGGACCCUGAGCCUGUGCGUGUCAGGCAGCUGCAGGACGUUCGGCUGUGACGGCAGGAUGGAUUCCGGGCAGGUGCCAGACAUGUGCCAGGUGUGCGGCGGGGACAACAGCACGUGCAGGCCACAGAACGGCUCUUUCACGGCUGGAAGGGCCAGAGAGUAUGUCACCUUCCUGACUGUCACCCCCAACCUGACCAACAUCCAUGUCAUCAACCACAGGCCUCUCUUCACACACCUGGCCGUGCGGAUCCGCGGGCGCUACGUCGUGGCUGGAAAUGCCAGCAUCUCUCCCAGCAUCACCUACCCCUCCCUCCUGGAGGACAGCCGUGUCGAGUACAGAGUGGCCCUGACUGAGGAUCGGCUGCCCCACCGGGAGGAGCUCCGCAUCCGGGGACCCACCCAGGAGGACCUGGAGAUCCAGGUUUACAGGCGCUACGGCCAGGAGUACGGCCGCCUCGCCCGCCCAGACAUCACCUUCACCUACUUCCAGCCUGAGCAGCAGCAGGCCUGGGCGUGGGCUCCUGUGCGGGGGGCCUGCUCGGUGAGCUGUGGGGCAGGGCUGCGUCAGGUGACCUACAGCUGUUGGGACCAGGCCAGGAAUGCAUGGGUGGAGGCUGCCCUGUGUGCAGGGAGCCGGCGGCCGGCGGCGUGGUCCGAGUCCUGCACCCCUGCUCCCUGCCCCCCGUUCUGGGCAGUUGGAGACUUCGGCCCACCAGGGCCGCUGGGCUCUCUCCUGGCUCGUGGGCCCUCUAGCAUGGCCUGGGCCAACAGUGUUCUCCUCCAGUUCUGCAGAUUUCCCUGUGGGGUGGGUUCUGUCAUUGUCCCCGUGUAGGAGGUGAGGACAGUGAGACAGGCAGACACGAGUGACAGUGUCAGCCUGGUGUGACCUGCACCCACUGUACCUGGUCUGCGGGCAGCUCCCUGCACGAUGGACAUGAUUGCCCUGCGGGGGAGGGUGGGGGAGAUCAGGGAGCUGGCCACGCCCUGGCGGGUGCUGCUGGCAAGAACGGAACACGAGGGACAAGGCUGUCCUAUUGGGUGCAGGGCUGGGGCAGUUUUUAUUUUUUUGGCCGUGCCCGCAGCAAGCAGAGGUUUCUGGGCCAGGGAUUGAACUUGUGUCAUGGCUGCCACCCGAGCCAUAGCAGUGAUAAUGCCAGGUCCUUAACCUGCUGAGCCACCAGGGAACUCCUGGGACACUUUUAUACAGAUGUCCUCAGGCUCUGGUGCAGCUUGGGGUCUGGAGAGCUGAAGGGUGGGGCGCUGCAGCCCAGAGCAGGGGUCCAGCCCAGAGCAGGGACAUGAGUCACCUUGCAGAUCAGCUGGCCUCCUGCUCUGCGCCCGAGUCCUGGGCCAGCCCGGGCUGCAUCCUGGGCUGCGUCCUGGCCAGGCCCCAUGCUCUGCUCCUCUCCUCAGCUGGGCAGUUGGAGACUUCGGCCCGUGCAGCGCUUCCUGCGGGGGAGGCCUGCAGGAGCGGGCGGUGCGCUGUGUGGAGGCCCAGGGUGGCCUCCUAAGGACGUUGCCCCGCUCGCGGUGCAGAGCGCUGGCCCAGCAACCUGCGGCCGUGGAGACCUGCAACGCACAGCCCUGCCCCACGAGGUGAGCCUCAGGGUGGGGCCGGGUCCCCCGCAAGGCCAGAUCCAGGCAGGGUCUCCCCAGCAGGGCUUGGCCCUGUGCUGAGCCCCUUCUGAGUGUCCCCGCUUCCCAAGGCCUCUGGCUGCACCUCCCCACCCCUCCCACCCCCGCCCCCGCGGCAGGGGAGUGUCAGCUUCCAAAUUACCAGCUACCCAGGAGGCCCUGGGUUGGCUAUUUCCCUUGGCACUUCCUCGUGGAGGGUCUGUGAGGACACGAAGGUAAAGCCAUAAAUGUCACGUUGUCAUUGCUAUUGUCAUGUCACCAUAUUGUCCCCCCACUGUGCUCUAGCUGGCAGAAACUUGCCAUUCCAAUUGGCCACUGACUUGGGUGGCCUGAGCAAGUCCCCUCCCUCUCUGGGCCCGUUUUGUUACCUGUCCGGUGGGGGUGGGGGUGGGCCUAGGUCACUGGCGGUCCAUACACGGCUCUGGGCACCUUCCACCACCUUGCAUCCGUGGCACAUGUCACAGCCAGUCACCACUCUUUUCUGCUGAGGGCUGAUCCUGCCGCAGACUCCUUAACACAGCACUCUAAGCAGCCACCACCUCUCAGCGGUGGCACAGGGGACGCAUUGACUGUCCCCAACCUGGUGAUCUGAUUGUGCCUGGCACUUGUUCCUUGGCACCCUCUAGGUUGUGUGGAGCGAUGCCCUUGGCUGGUCGGGGGCCCCGCCUCUGCUUCUGGGAGGCUGGUGGGUCGGGGCUUGUGUGCCUGCACCCUGGGUGUCAAGUCAGGGACCAGUGGCAGCUCCCCAGUCUUCAGGGAAGGGCCCCUGGUCUUGGCCUCUUUGUGGGGACUCCUCUUUGGGCUCUUGGAUAUUGGGGAGUAGGCUCACUGCCUCCCUGCCCCAGGAGCCGGGCUGCUCCGGCAGCUCAAUGGCGCGGGCAAGGCCUGAUGGCGAUCCCGUGCCAUCCUCAGAGAGACAUCGGACAUCUGCCCGUCAGCCUGUGGAGCAGAACUGGCCGUGCAGAAUGUGACGUGUGUGCAGGGGGCAGAGGGCAUGGGGGCGCUGGCCACUGCUGGGCCCUGCCCCACAGACCAGAAGCCAUCUGCCCUAGAGCCGUGUAUCGAGGUGACAUGUCCUCCAGGCUGGGGCCAUGUGAGUGUCCUGGGCACCAGAGGGCUGGGGCUUGUGGGUCCUUUUCUGGCCAGGAGAACGGGGAGCCCUGGUUCCCACUGGCCUCCUGGCCGGAGCCGGAAGACUGCCCAUCUGCAGGGCUGCGGUCCUUGGGGUUCCUUCGGUCAGAGGAUGAACUUAGAGUCAGGGCUUCUAGGAAGGCUCCUUCCCGCUGGCUCGCAGGCCCAGGACUCCAGACCCUGGUAGCUGCUGUCGGUUCUCUGCUACGUGGAGAAACGCGGCCACGCUCCUGCCGGCGUCCAUGGGCUCAGGCUGGGUGGGCUUGCUUCAGACAAGGGUGCUGGCCAACCGGGGCCCUCGGGAGCUGGUGGGGCUUUCAGGGCCAAGCAUGCCUGCAAACCUGGCUCCUGAACCCCCCGCUCAGUCACCCCUGCCACACGGUGACUGCUCACGCAGAUGCAGAGGCCGAGGCAGGGUGUGCGGCGAGGGCAUCCACUGGGGGCCAGAAAGCAAGGCUCCCGGGAAAGGGGCAGCGGGGCCGGGCAGCCUCUGGAGAGCUGGUGACACUGAUACUCUCUUUUGCACAGACUGGGGUGGGAGGGGGUGGAGAGCCAGGUGCCCAGGGGGCUGGAGGCAGGAAGCCCAGACCCACCAGCUUGUUUGUGGCCCCGCAGCUGGAGGCCCAGUCUCCAGGCGAAGAGGCUGUGUCCCCAGCGGGCAGCGCCAGGCUGGAGGUUCAGGCCGCACACGUGUGGACUCCUCUGACGGGGCCGUGCUCCGUCUCCUGUGGUCAAGGUGAGGCCCCCCCGCUCUCCUAAGCACCCACUAACUCUAAAAACCAUAUGAGGCGGCUUCCGGAAUAUCCAGCUGCAUCAGAACAUGCCUUUAAAUGCAAGGAGCUUGGGGCCAAGUAUGGACAAGCCAAAUGAAUGUGCUCAUUGAUUGGCUGGAAGAUAGGAAUUGUCAUAAAAGUGGCCAAAUUGGCACCUAAGAGCACGUUCUUAAGGUCUAAGAUGGGCCCCAAACUUAGCUCUGAGCUUCCUGGCGGCCAGACCAGAGAAACAAAGUUAGUGUUAAGAUACACAGUGUUCUUGGGAGUUCCCAUUGUGUCUCAGCGGUAACAAACCUGACUAGUAUCUGUGAAGGAUGCAGGUUCAAUCCCGGGCCUCGCUCAGUGGGUUAAGGAGCUGGUGUUGCCAUGAGCUGCGGUGUAGGUUGCAGAUGCGGCUUGGAUCUGGCAUUGCUGUGGCUGUGGCUGUGGCCAGCAGCUGGAGCUCCAAUUUGACCCCUAGCCUGGGAUCUUCUGUAUGUUACAGGUGUGGCCCU
rnacentral:lncRNA from 1 species